rnacentral:lncRNA from 1 species
UGUUCUUUCUCUGGAGCUUUACUCACUAGAGAGCAUUACUCACUUAUAAAGUGAUUUAAGUGCAGGCCUCUUUGUCUUGUGGGUUUAUACAUUGGCUUUAGUCCUGUGUGCUUCUUAAUUUAAAUGCUAACUGAGAUCACAAAUGUCAUUGGGAGGUUUGUUCCCAAACAACCCUCUUGCCACUCAAGCCGCUUUGUAGCCUGAACUUUCCAGACAGGAGGUGUCUCUGGACUUAUGAACACAAGAAUGUAAACCUGGAGAGAAGCCCCUCCAAGACAAUGAUUUAUGGGCAGCUGGAAUUUGCAUGCAUUGCUCCGAAUCUGUGGAAGAAUCUAUGUGGUUGUUCAUGGCCUUCAGAAACAUGGAUGCUGCAAAGCAGAGCUAUGGAGAAUAUGGAAAGCAGGCUCAAAAAGCAUCUGCAAACCUGUGCCAAUAUUACUGCCUCUGUCAUCAAGCAAUGGAAAGGUUUUUCUAGUUAAAUUCAAACUGUUUAAGUCAGACAGAGGUACAUGCCCGCUUCACCCUGAGCCCUUCUGCGAAUGGUCAGAAACAGAAUACUGUGUGAUCUCAAAAAGAUUCAGAGCAAACAUGGAAGACAGUUAUGUUUAAAUGACACUCUGGUUGGGCAGACACUGAACGCAG